rnacentral:misc_RNA from 1 species
AACGCACAUUGCGCCCUCUGGUAUUCCGGGGGGCAUGCCUGUUCGAGCGUCAUUACAACCCUCAAGCUCUGCUUGGUAUUAGGCGCCGCCUGUCAAGGCGCGUCUCAAAACUAGUGGCGGUGCCAUCUGGCUUCAAGCGUAGUAAUUCUUCUCGCUUCGGAGAACCAGUUGUGUGCUCGCCAACAACCCCAAAUUUUAUCAAGGUUGACCUCGGAUCAGGUAGGGAUACCCGCUGAACUUAA